AGGAUAAUAGUUAAAAUAACGUUUAACUUGCACUUAAAAAAUAUUGAAUAAUCAAUUUAUCUUA
rnacentral:tRNA from 1 species